UGGGGGAUAUUGCACAAUGGGCGAAAGCCUGAUGCAGCGACGCCGCGUGGGGGAUGAAGGCCUUCGGGUUGUAAACUUCUUUUGCUCUGAACAAGGCAUGCUAAUGGGUGUGUUGAGUGUAGGGGUUGAUUAGCGCCGGCUAACUACGUGCCAGCAGCCGCGGUAAUACGUAGGGCGCGAGCGUUGUCCGGAAUUAUUGGGCGUAAAGGGCUUGUAGGUGGCUGGUUGCGUCUGUCGUGAAAGCUCAUGGCUUAACUGUGGGUUUGCGGUGGGUACGGGCUGGCCUGAGUGCAGUAGGGGAGGCUGGAAUUCCUGGUGUAGCGGUGGAAUGCGCAGAUAUCAGGAGGAAUACCGGUGGCGAAGGCGGGUCUCUGGGCUGUUACUGACACUGAGGAGCGAAAGCAUGGGGAGCGAACAGG
rnacentral:rRNA from 1 species